rnacentral:rRNA from 1 species
GAUGAACGCUAGCGGGAGGCCUAACACAUGCAAGCCGAGCGGUAUUGUUUCUUCGGAAAUGAGAGAGCGGCGUACGGGUGCGGAACACGUGUGCAACCUGCCUUUAUCUGGGGGAUAGCCUUUCGAAAGGAAGAUUAAUACUCCAUAAUAUAUUGAACGGCAUCGUUUAACAUUGAAAGCUCCGGCGGAUAGAGCUGGGCACGCGCAAGAUUAGCUAGUUGGUGAGGUAACGGCUCACCAAGGCGAUGAUCUUUAGGGGGCCUGAGAGGGUGAUCCCCCACACUGGUACUGAGACACGGACCAGACUCCUACGGGAGGCAGCAGUGAGGAAUAUUGGUCAAUGGGUGCAAGCCUGAACCAGCCAUCCCGCGUGAAGGACGACUGCCCUAUGGGUUGUAAACUUCUUUUGUAUAGGGAUAAACCUACCCUCGUGAGGGUAGCUGAAGGUACUAUACGAAUAAGCACCGGCUAACUCCGUGCCAGCCGCCGCCGUAACAC